CCGGGCUUCGAACGUUGCAGGAAGGAUCUAGAGAUAGUGACGCCCUUCGGGGCCUGUGUGGAGGUGCUGCAUGUUGUCGUCAGCUCGUGCCGUGAGGUGUCGGCUUAAGUGCCAUAACGAGCGCAACCCUUCUCGCGAGUUACCAUCAGGUGAUGCUGGGGACUUCUUCGCGACACUGCCCACCGUAAGGGUGUGAGGAAGGUGGGGAUGACGUCAAAUCAGCACGGCCCUUACGUCCGGGGCUACACACGUGCUACAAUGGCGCGCACAGAAGGCAGCGACCCUGCGAGGGGGAGCGAAUCCCGAAAGCGCGUCUCAGUUCGGAUCGGAGUCUGCAACCCGACUCUGUGAAGUUGGAUUCGCUAGUAAUCGCGCAUCAGCCAUGACGCGGUGAAUACGUUCCCGGGCCUUGUACACACCGCCCGUCAAGCCAUGGAAGAUGGUGGUACCUGAAGUCUGGUGUAAGCAGCCGGCCUAGGGUAAAACUGUUAACUGGGGCU
rnacentral:rRNA from 1 species